UCCGGGGAGGGGCCGACUGUGAAGAUCCCGGUGUGCGGAGUCCUCAGCGCGGAGGCUGCUGCCCCUGGCGUUCAGUGUGGCCGCGCGAACCGAGUGGGAACGUCCCAUGGCUCAGAAAUGUGGGACAGGAAAACGUUGGGGACCUUUGCACUGUGCCGGGGGACAGGGUAAAGGAAGACCUAGGUCCGACCCGCCUCCUUAGGCAGUGCCUCGCUUUAUGAAAUAUAGCUGGAGUCUGGCACUUUCAAAGCUUGCACCGAACUCAUCCUCCCCAGCGCGCACGCCCCCGGCUUCCUGCAAUACAGGCACCAGCAGCCGAGACCUUGCUCUAUUGCAGUUCAUGAAACUACUUGCCAUGCAUGUCAACUUGUCAUCCAGAAACUCUCAGGAGGUAGAAAUCACUUAACACAGUUUUAGGUGGAGCAGUGGCUUGUGGAGUGGCAAAGUUUGGGACUCACUCACUUAACUGAAGAUACCCCAGCCUUGAAGAAGGACCAGUAGAAAGGCAAUGCCUCAAAGGUGAUACCUGCAUAAGUAAUGUCCACCCUUCUGGUACAGGGAGUUUUGGAAAAAUCCUGUCAUGAGACAAGUAGAAUGUCCAUAAGGCAGACCUGCCAUGAUCCAAGAUAGUCUUCCUCCUGGUUCAAGAUGGCAAAGUCCUAGGUGUCACAUGGAAAUACAACCACAUCCAAUAGCAGAAGAGGACUGUCUCUUGACAAAAGGCCUCACUCAGCAGAGGAUCUCCAUCUGAAGAGCUUCUCUCCAGGAGUACCCUGGCCUCUCAAGAUGCUGACAGCAGUUUCCUGACUUAGCUGAUUCAGCCCUGGUCACCCUGCUCUUGGAGGAUGCUUCAUCAUGUCAGCUUCCUGGUGAAAACCGACCUUAGUCGGCCAUGCCUGUCUAUUCCUGUGCCCUUUCUUAUGGAAUUUCUGCCCAUCCAAAACUGAGCAGUUGUGGAAGUAAGUCUAUGCUAUAAAACCUGGAAGCUCCCAGAUCUCUCCUCCAAAUUCAGUGACCCCUGCAUCUAAUAGGAAGACAUACACAGAUGCUAAGAACUGGUGUAGUAUCUUUUUCUUAAAGGCAGGCUUGGCUUUGUACUUCUGCAUCUCUGUUCACUUCUACACAGAGAACAAAGGAAUUUUUGUGGAGGCAGGCACAUCCCACAUUCCUAGUUUACAGAAUUUAUUUUUAACCAGGACUACAUUUAGAAAUAUAUGAGCAACUAUACUAGUAAUGAUAGGCGGAAGAAGAGAAGGCGUGUGUGUGGAUUCAUCUUUCUAGGUAGGUAUGGCUCCAGUUAAUAUUUAAAAUGAUCUCGAAUUCUCUGAGCACACACUAUCUGAUGGGGGAGGUUGUGACGAGAGAGACAGGUGGCGGUGGGAAAGCUGACCUAGGAUUAAAAAUUAAUUGUACUCAAUUUGGAAAUUAGAUCAUUGUAGGCAGAUGGAUAUGAGUUUAAUAUGAUUUUGUAUUUAACUUUUUGGAGGAGAUUUAAAAUCUUAUGCACCAACUAGGCAAUUUAUGAACUCACAUUUCAGCUUUAAUUCUACCUCAUCACAAGUAGAAUUAUAGGUCUGGAAAAACUCCACCAAUCGUUCUCCCUUGGAAAGAACCACACCCGGAGCCAGCCAAGGCAACAGGGAUCCCUAACACAUUUUUUUUUUUUUUGAGACUUCUAAUUUAAGGUAUUCUACAGCCAGUCUCCCUCAGGAGCAAAUUCUGGUGUUCUACUUUUCCAUUGAGCUAGCCUCUGCUGUGUUUCCUCUUCCCCUGCUCCAGGCAGCUGGAUAGACCAAGAAACCUGUACCUCCACCUUCAUCAGCUUCAGCCUCAGCUUUAGCAUCUUCGGGGCCUGCUUUGCCGUUCCAUGGGCUGUGAAGUGAGGCAUGCUGGACCAGGGCACAGCCCUGGGCCAAAAGGGAAGGAGAGUAAACAGGGAGGGUCCUGCCCACUUAGGGUAUAGGACUUGGGCCAGAAGGAACUAACCGGAUUCUAGAGGCUGGCCCACAACAGAGCUUGAUCGAUUCAAGAUACAGUGCCCAAAGGGAAAAGAAAGCCUGGGCAAAUGACGGUCCUAGAGUGUCCUGUUUGGUUGGUGGUGUAAGGUAGGGAGAGAUUCCGGGCAGCAGCAAGCAUGCAGGCAUUGGAUCCAGCAGAGAUGUGGUUCUGGAAGAGCUGAACAUUCGCGGAGUUACCGGCAAAUGGAUGAGGGCAUAAAGAAGAGUUCGCUUUCCUUCAGGGAAAGAUACUGGCAAGCAGGCAAGCGUUUCAGGGCCCGAAUAAGCAGUCCAAGGAUUAGAAUAAUACUCAAAUUCUGGAGGGAAGGAGGGCUCCCUUCUAGUGGUCAUUGCUGAUGCAGCUCUCCUCAUUCUGCCCACUCUAUCAGGGUACCUUAUUACAUCUUUGGAGUCAAUGACCACCUUGGUGAUUUCCUACUUUAAAUCUUAACAUAACAUGUUCAAAGAAACUCACAGCUUCCCCCAACCUGCUUUUCUUCCUAUGUUCUUUAUUUCAAGGGAAGGAUUCAUUCUUGAUUCUUCCUUGUUCUCACUCACCAUAUUUAGUCGUUCAUAAAAUCCAAUCAUAUCUUCCUUCUAAAUAGCUCCUAAUUUUGUUCCCUCCUGCUUCACUGGCAAUAUCUUAGUCCUGGUCACCAUCACAAUUUCACCAGAAUUUGUGCUAUAACCUUUUAACUGUUCUCCUUGCCUCUAGUCAUGCAUGUCCUUUGCCAACACUUCCCCCUAAAUGCAACUUUGAUUUUUAUCUCUCUUCUACUUAAAGUCUUCACUGCCCCCAGGAUAAAAUGCAGAACUCACCAGCUUAAAGGCUCACCUGCCCUGCCUACCUGUCCACCUCUUCUUCUUCCACAUCCUUCUCCAGCCAUAUUGAACUUCUUAAGGUCCCUGAGGAAGCCUAGAUUUCUCUGGAUGCCACAUCUGUGUAUAUAGGGUUCUUCAUGUGAAUAACUUUUACUCAUCUUUUGGGGUUCAAGUCAAGGUAUCAUCUUCUCUAGGACUCUUCUCUGGGUGGAUGCCCCUCUUACCUGCUCC